CUUCCACUCUGGGCUGGUUUCUAUGACAAACAGGGCAGGCUGGAAUGCUACUGAUAAGGAAUAGCACUACAGAAAACACACGCUUGUAUUGUACGCUGUAUGGAAGUGUUGAUGAGAAAUGUUUAUUUGUUUGUCUUCUCAGGCCUGGGCAAUACCUUCUGCUUUCUGGACACCCAUCAUCACAUCUCCUUAUUUUACUGGCAUCAAUAGCCUUUGUCAUCUCAUCCAGGACUGCAGGUGAAGUGAUGAAAUUUUCUAAAGGGAGUCCACAGACUCGGAAAGGAUCACACUGAUAAACCUUCUCAGCAAUCUCCAAGAUCAAGCAUAUCCCUCAGCUCUCUACCUAUUUCUCUGUCGUGCUCUCCCCACACCCUUGAGUGGCAGUGCAUGAUAUGCUGCUUUUUUUCUUAGAGCCAAAGGUCUGUUCCUGGAAGCUGCUAAGUAUCUUAAUUCUCCACUGAGCUCAGUGUAAGUAGAAGCUGUGUAGCAUAGAAUUAGGCUUAAAGAAAAUAAGUAUGAAAAGUCUGGUGUACUUUCUCAGUCCUCCAUGCCAUGUGUUAGACACUUCUGGGAAGUGUGUCUCUACUGCUGAAAAGACUGGUCCAUGACUUCAGUACUGGGCAUACUGGCUAGGCUAAAGGGCUGCUUUAUUAGCACUGUCUAGCACCUCAUGGGCUCUGCUCUACUUCUUUCUACAGAUAAAACUGUAAAGUAAACACAAAAGUUUAAAAGCUCUAGAACCAGAUUCUGCACUUUUUCUUCAGUGACUGGUAAAAGAUGUGGAUAAUAUCCAAAGGUAACUUUCAGGGUUGUAAUUUAGAUUAAAACUAAUACUUCAAAUGAAUACUCAAAUGCAUAACUGAUACAUGAAUGACUAAUCCCAUUAACUUCUUUACACUUUUUAUGGAAGAAAAGUUAUAUACUGAGAGAUCUGGUAUUUCUGAUAGGAGGGGAGAAACAUGGGGCUUUGGUUUCUCAAAAGCGAAGAAAGAUUUCUCUCUGUCUUGCUUUUUUGAUACCUUCUGUAAUUAAGAAUUCAGCAAAAAAGAUAUUGUAACAAGUCUUCGCUAUAUGCUUCUUUUUAUUUUGAACAUCAUUCAUGUUUAUUUUACAUGUUCUUGAAACAAUACAAAUGACAUACACCUGCCUUCCUCACCCAACAGUACAUACUCCUUCAUGUUUCAAAUGCAGUACAAUCACAAUGCUGAGUUGAUGAGAGAAUUACAGUCCUGGAAACAGACUGCAAUGUCAUAAAAAUAAGAUCUUGAUGCCUGAUCAGUGGGAUAGAUGGUGCUGAGCCACUAACAAACUGAGUCACUUCAGAAAGGAUAAAUGAAGCAUUUUUAAGAGAGAUAGGUCAUCUCCAUGGGUUUUCUUUAAACGACAGAACAUCCUACUUGGUCUUAUUAUUAGUAACACAUAAAGUGCAGCAGUUUUUAUUUUGUUAACUGUAGUGCUCAAAGGUGGUGAGCUCUAAGACACACAGAAAGCCUUGGCACGUCCGGCAGCAUUUACAGUGAAAUAGAAAGGAAAAGAAAAGCUAUUUAAUGCAUAAUCUCAGAGAUCAAACACAUGAUAGGCUCCAAACAUGUUUUGUUUGGAUAUUAUUUUUUGUAUGGAGCACUUUGAUUCAGAGCUUUUGACCCCACUCUUCCCCCCCACCCCCAAGGACCCACCUCGAAGAAACAAAAAAUCAACACUAUUCUUCAAGCUUAUUUGUUUAUAACAAAAUGUCGCCUGUUACAAGAGACCUCUUUAAACUAAUGCUGCUGACUUGGUGCUGAGGUAGAUUAAAGUACUGCUAUUCAAUGUGCCAUUGUGAAUGGGAUAGCCUCAACAAGCGGGACAUCACAAAUGUCACAUCCUAGUGGCAAAAAUUAUAUAAUACAGAUUGUACAACCAUAAGUAGAUGUCAGGAAAAUUUCUGGUUCCUCUGUUCACUUCCUGUCUCUGCUGGGAUAUACGUAGCUUGCUGGCUUUAAAGCCCUGGAUAAACAUACACGGCCUCAUCUCUACCACACCCCCAGAUGGUGGUGAAGGAAUACAUGUUAGGGAACAAAAGACAGGUUAGUCUAGGGAUUUGGAGUUCCCAGCAUCCAUGAUAGCUGCAUUGGCAAACAGUGUAUAACUGGAACAAGCAGCUGGCAGAAACUGCAUGCAGUGCCAAGGCCUGUGAGACCUCUGUGCUGUGGAGCUAUGGCACAGGUGAGCGUAUCAGAACCAUGAUUAGAACAUACAUUCCUGAUCACUCAUCCCAUGCUGACUUCUCAAGACAAAAUGUUAAAAAUCACACUGUGGUGAGCAUUCACAUUUUCAUAAAUUGGCAAAUGAGUUCCUUGAUUUGCCAUAUUCUUGCUUAUGCCUUUCCAUGGAUCUAGUUUAUUACUUUUCCUUGCAUAGUCUUUAUGAACAUUCAGAAAUUCACUGAACAACUUUUUUAUUUAUUUUACUCACUUAUUUGUAUUUACUGUCAACAAAGCAAUAUUUAAAUACUGCUGCAUGUGGGGAUGACAAAUUGCCUCUGGACCCAGAAAACUGGAGAUAUGAAGUGACAGAUUUAUUAGCUGUUAAAUAAAAGAAAAGGGAAAAAGAAGAUAAAACAUUGUAUCUUUUGCUUAUUAUAAGGCCAACAUAGGGUUAAAAACAUUCCAGAGCAGAGAUCAGAUGAGCAAACUCCUGCAGGUGUGCCUGUUAAGUAGGUGUUAAUUUAGGAGGAGCUAGGAGUGGAGUAUAAAUUAGAAAGCCCAAAGCUUAGAAAUUGGUGGUGGUAGGGUUGGUGUUUCUCUGAUCCCUGAGGGAGUAGUGCUAAUAGGGAGUGUCAGAAGAUGAACUUGAAGAAAGUGAGUUGUAGUUGUUUUUUGACAUCUGUUAAUGUGUUACAUGUCAGGGUCUGAUUUGCAGCCUGGAGAUUAGUGGUGAAUUCUCUUUAUGAAAGCUAUGUUACAGGGCACAGUUUUCUGGAAGAUAGUACAAUGUUGUUAUGGCUAAUUCUUCAAAAAGUAUUUCCCAUCUAGUAUGGGUAUUGGGUAGCUAACCUUGGUGAACAGCUUAUUUUUAUGAGCCUCUCUUGCCACAAGCUAAACUAAUUUAAAUCAAAAUGUAAGCUUUUAUGCUAGUAAUGGAUUUCCCUUAUUAUUAAAGACAACAGCUUAAAGCUGAAUUUGUGGAAAAGGCUGGGAACUCAAAAGCAAGGUUUUAUAAGAAGAGGUAAUAGCUUUUACUAGACAAAUUCUGUUAAUCUUCUAGCUGUGAGAACAGCUGAAAGAAAGUUGCCCUGGGCUUUAAUGGUGAGAUCUACAGCACAGACAUGUGAGGCUGGGGGUCAUGUGCUGCUAUUCUUAAACUAUGGGGAAUAGUUACUUUCAUGAAAAUGAUAAAAGCAGAAGCCAGGCUCUCUACUCUUUCUGCAGCUACAUUCAUGCCUUCUGAAGUGUAUUGCAAUUUUCCUGGGUAUGAGAAAGGCAUUUAAAAUUAUCAACUGCUUGCUUAGGAGAGGAAAAUGCAAGCCCUCAGGGCCUGCUUAAUAAAUGACAAAAACCUAAAGCUCAAUAAGCCUGUAAGGAGGAUAGCCAUUAAACUACCCUGUUUCAGUGGCUGCGAUAUAAGCCUCUUUAGAGGAAAUCCUGUUGUGCAAAUCUGUUUCCUUGUUACUUCCUUUGCUUUGUUUUUUCAGAAACAGUCCAUCUCUCGAAUGCUGUAAAGGACAGAGGGAACUAAGUUUUUGUUGUUUCUUGAUUUAUUUUUUGCUUGACAUUUCUCUUGGGUCCUUUUGAUAAUUUGAAGAGCAAACUUGUUCCCUCAAGAGUCUCUAAUGCUCUUUCUGCUCACUCAGGAAAAUCUGUAAGUAUUGAAUUUUGAGUUGUUUUUCCUGUGACUCAGGAAGUCUUCUAUGAACAAAACGCAAAUGUGAAAGAGCUCCUGACAAAGGAGGAAUGCAUUGAAUCGUGACAAUGCAUAAGGCAGGGGGAAAAUAGAGUAAUUUGCAUCAGUCCAGAUGAAGAAUUUCAGGGGGAGCAGGGGAAGUUUCCCCUCAAAGUUUUGUAAGCUGUGCAGCUCUGAUAAUUGCCAGAUGUGCCUGGGAUGCCUGAAACUCUAUUCUCUGGUGCAAACGGGAAAAUGAAUUUGCUUCUGUGUAGGUGGCCAUACACUUCAUGUAUUGAAAGGAGUGUGACCUUUUCUGUUAAAGAAUACUUCUCCCUCUUCUCCUCCUGCCCCUUCUCCCCCUCCCUCCACAAAUAAAUGUUUCAUUAAGAAUGGUAAAUAUUUGUUUUUCUACUUCCUACUUUUCUGUACUUUAACAGAUCUUUGUAUAUAAAGAUACUGCUACAUCUUUAUAACACAAAGAACAUUAAAGGAGGGGAAAAUACAACUCUAUUAUUAGUAGUAUAGUUUGCUGAGUAAAAGCUCUGCUACUAUAAAACAGUUCAACUGAUAAUGACGUCAUAAAUGCAUCCUGAUUCUCUUCCAUGCCCAUAUAUAAAUAGCUUAAAUGAAAUGGAAAGCCAGAUUCCCCUGAUGUUAUAAAUCAGCUGACAGUAAGUUAGUGGAGGGAAAAAUACUUUUUGUUUACAUACAGUGGAAUUUCUGAAUCUUUCAUUCAGUAUUGUAUUCAUCUACUCAAAGUGAUUACAUCCACAGACUAAUUCUGUGUGGUUUUUUUGAAGUAGACGUCUUUGAUAUUUAGCACUGGACAAUCUGCUUUUGAGGUUGUAGGCCUUCUUGGCUCAGUUACAGAUAGGUAUUUAGACUGAAUGAACUGAAUAAUAUUUAUCAUCUUAAAUGUAUAACCUGAAAUUAUGGUUCCUUUCUAAAGAAAAAUAUAAAAGUGCGCACUUCUCAUGUGUUAACUUUCAA